CUGGAAUGAGAGACAAGUGAGGAUGAAGAGGACAACAGAAUAUCCAUCCUUUCUUCACCACUUCACAGAGUUUGAGUGAAACAACUUGUAUUAGGACUCACAGGAUUAUUUUAUAACAAGACUGAUUAUUUUAUACCAGAAGUAUGGUAU